GACGAACGCUGGCGGCGUGCUUAACACAUGCAAGUCGAACGGAAAGGCCCUGCUUUUGUGGGGUGCUCGAGUGGCGAACGGGUGAGUAAUACGUGAGUAACCUGCCCUUGACUUUGGGAUAACUUCAGGAAACUGGGGCUAAUACCGGAUAGGAGCUCCUGCUGCAUGGUGGGGGUUGGAAAGUUUCGGCGGUUGGGGAUGGACUCGCGGCUUAUCAGCUUGUUGGUGGGGUAGUGGCUUACCAAGGCUUUGACGGGUAGCCGGCCUGAGAGGGUGACCGGCCACAUUGGGACUGAGAUACGGCCCAGACUCCUACGGGAGGCAGCAGUGGGGAAUAUUGCACAAUGGGCGGAAGCCUGAUGCAGCAACGCCGCGUGCGGGAUGACGGCCUUCGGGUUGUAAACCGCUUUCGCCUGUGACGAAGCGUGAGUGACGGUAAUGGGUAAAGAAGCACCGGCUAACUACGCG
rnacentral:rRNA from 1 species